rnacentral:rRNA from 1 species
GUAUUUAUUAGAUAAAGAACCAAUAUUUUUUUUUGGUGACUCAUAAUAACUUUACGGAUCACAAUAAUUUAUUUUGUGACAUAUCAUUCAAGUUUCUGACCUAUCAGCUUUAGACGGUAGGGUAUUGGCCUACCGUGGCUAUGACGGGUAACGGGGAAUUAGGGUUCGAUUCCGGAGAGGGAGCCUGAGAAACGGCUACCACAUCUAAGGAAGGCAGCAGGCGCGCAAAUUACCCAAUCCUAAUACAGGGAGGUAGUGACAAGAAAUAACAAUACAGGACUUUACGGUUUUGUAAUUGGAAUGAGUUAAGUAUAAACCCCUUUACAAGUAUCAAUUGGAGGGCAAGUCUGGUGCCAGCAGCCGCGGUAAUUCCAGCUCCAAUAGCGUAUAUUAAAGUUGUUGCAGUUAAAAAGCUCGUAGUUGGAUUUCUGUUAAUACCUUAUAUAUAAUAUUUUUUUUUAAAUAUUAAUAUGUAAGAUUAACAUAAUUCAUAUUUUUAAGACUGAAUUUUUAGUUUUGAUAAUAUGAAAUUUUACUUUGAGAAAAUUAGAGUGCUUAAAGCAGGCUUUUGCCUUGAAUACUCCAGCAUGGAAUAAUAAUAAAAGAUUUUUAUCUUUUUUUUAUUGGUUCUAAGAUAAAAAUAAUGAUUAAUAGGGACAGUUGGGGGCAUUUGUAUUUAACAGUCAGAGGUGAUAUUCUUAGAUUUGUUAAAGACAAACUAAUGCGAAAGCAUUUGCCAAGGAUGUUUUCAUUAAUCAAGAACGAAAGUUAGGGGAUCGAAGACGAUCAGAUACCGUCGUAGUCUUAACCAUAAA